rnacentral:rRNA from 1 species
CCUACGGGAGGCAGCAGUGAGGAAUAUUGGUCAAUGGACGAGAGUCUGAACCAGCCAAGUAGCGUGAAGGAUGACUGCCCUAUGGGUUGUAAACUUCUUUUAUAUGGGAAUAAAGCGUGCCACGUGUGGGAUUUUGUAUGUACCAUAUGAAUAAGGAUCGGCUAACUCCGUGCCAGCAGCCGCGGUAAUACGGAGGAUCCGAGCGUUAUCCGGAUUUAUUGGGUUUAAAGGGAGCGUAGGUGGGUUGUUAAGUCAGUUGUGAAAGUUUGCGGCUCAACCGUAAAAUUGCAGUUGAUACUGGCAGUCUUGAGUACAGUAGAGGUGGGCGGAAUUCGUGGUGUAGCGGUGAAAUGCUUAGAUAUCACGAAGAACUCCGAUUGCGAAGGCAGUUCACUAGACUGCAACUGACACUGAGGCUCGAAAGUGUGGGUAUCAAACAGGAUUAGAUACCCGGGUAGUC